CAAACAUUGAUUAAACAUUCAUUUCUUUUGCAUUCUCCUCUUGAAUUAUUAAUGAAUUUUUUUAAAUGUAAUUAAAAAACUCAUUAAUAAUUCAUGAAGAAAACACAAAGAAAAAUCAUAAGCGUGUCGUAUCUGUAUAUGUGAUACAGAUUCAUGUUGAUUUACAUAAACUUUAACUUUGAUUUUCUCGGCUUAGACAACGAUUAUUUUUAAAAUUACUUCGCCAAUGAACUCAUGAGAUGAGUCGUUUUUUAAGCCAUUUACAACAUUCGCGUUCGUGUUGUAUCGGAUAUACAAGCUCUCGCCUUCGGCUCGCUCACGGCCGGUCAUGUUGUAAAUAGUACAUAAAUUUCCAUCUACAAGACCCUUCAACUAUUAUUGAAUCGAGUGAGAUGCCGAACAAAAUCUCGAUAUUUACCCUACCUAACUACCAACCUCUCAACGAAGGGUCAUCGCUUGAAACAUCGAAGAUCAGGUAGCUGUAUCUCUCUCAGUACCGUAGGCUGUCUUAUAGAUUAUGUCUGUAAUGUCAAGACCGUAACUAGCGCUAGGGCUUUGCUCCUCCACCCAAAAAAGAUUUUUUACUUUAGGCCGUUUUCCUUUUCCAUUUCAACUGUGCAUGUCGUACCGAAGCGUAUUUCUUUGUUUGCUGAGCACUAUUAGUGGAAUUAAUAACUUUGACACAAAAGAAAAUGCAACGAUACGUUACGAUUGAAGUGGAAAACAGGCUUUAGAAACGCUACUCCCUGCAUUCCGAGAGCAGUUUCUACUAAAACACAAUCUCACAAACAAAGUAAAUGACUAAAAUUUUAUAGUCAAACCUGAGAAUCACAAAUAUUCAUUCUUGGUCGAACAUGAUGAGGUGGAUCAUUUUUAAGUGUUUUUUUUUGUGGUAAUAUUUGGGACGCUAACCCAUGGGUACACCCACGAAAUAUUGACGUUUCAAGCAGCUGAAAAUCGAGCUUCGAGCCCUGCAACAGUAACAGAAAAAAAUUCCAUUCGGAAUUUGAUUUCCUUCUUUGAAUUUGAAGUCUUCCUAUUUUAAUUUUUUUUCACAAAAAUCUUACCGAGUCAACUAAUUUAACUCGUAGCUAGUUACGGGCCUGAAUGUAAUAUAAUGCAAUGCAAAUUUGCAAUGGGACAUUACGCUGGUCAUAUGCAGCAAAUUUUCUCCCAGUACCGCAGGCUCGCAGUUUGCAGCGGACUUGCGGUGAAAAAUUGAAAUUUGUACAGAACUGACCAUUUUGUGUAAGAUGUCCGCUGACAAUACGAGCUCGCACGAGAAAUUUCACUAAAUUUGACCAAUGUUAUUUAAUUUUUUGUCCGCACCACCUAUUGUCUUUUGAGGAUAUUUUGAGGGUCCAAAUUUUAAGGCAGAUCUGCAGAAAUUAAUUCCACAGGAUCAGGUGGGUAGAAAAAACUACUAAAAUUUAUGGAAUUUCCUUGGGUGGGAUUGGUCAAGAACAAAAAGAAAAUUCCAAAGGAUAGAUAAAAUUCAGCAAGACAUUCUCCAAGGGAUAGCUACUAAUCAAGGAACAGAUACGGAAAUUCCACCCGCUAGGUCAGAAACCAUCAAGGAAUUUCCAUGGGAUAGAUUAGAACUUCAUAAAAAAAUGUGCUGAAAUUUCACGGGGAAGGCUAAAAAUGCAUUCAUCUGCAGAAAUUCCAGGGGAGGGGGAGGGACUGAAAAUGCAUGCAUGUCCUCAAUAGGCGGGUUGGUUCAAAAAAUGCGAUAGUCCAGUGCAAUGUAAUGUAAUAAAAUGCAAUGUAAUGAUGUAGUUGCCUAUUUUCGCAUGCAAAUGGCUCUUGUAAGACUUGUAAAGUGGACUGAAGGGUUUUUACCAUUUUUAAAUAAAUGUAAGGCCCCGUCUACAUGAGACCGGGACGAAAUCAAACUUUGACUUCGUUCCAGUCUCGUGUAAAUCCGCCAUUUAACAACGAAUUUCCAGACAGAGACAGUUAUCCGUCUGGCAGUUCCAAAGGAGACAAUUUAGUCCAUUCGUGUGCAUUCUGUAAGACGGAUGUAUUGGAGAAAAUUUGAUAAUAGCAAUCAUAGGUCUUAAUGAUAGUCAAUAAAUAAUCGAGGAAAUCGAUUAUAUCUGGAGCGUUUAAAUUUUAUCCUACGGUUAGCGAGUUUAAUUUUAUGAAUUUGCAACUUUAACACGCCCUAAUUAAACUUAUAUUAUACAGUGAUUGUUAUGUUAUUUGUUGUAUGCAUACAUACACACACAUACAUACAUUCAGUUUAUUCCCCCCAUUGGGGCCUUUUGGUGACCGAUUACAUCAAGUAUUACGCUUACUUAUAUUACCUACUUAGCCUAGACUAUUUAUCUUUGCAACAAUUGUGAUUACUUUUCUACUGUGUUUAUCCUAACCCACCCUGUCAACUUUCCCUUUUGG